rfam:Gossypium hirsutum cultivar TM-1 chromosome 16, whole genome shotgun sequence
AUUUAAAAAUUUUAUUUAUUUGUAUUAUUAAAAAUCAGUGUGAUUGAGACAGUAAUACGUGGCGUGCCAUAUGUACAUCAUACUAAUAUAUAUGAACUAAUUUUUAAUAAUAAAAAUAGAUAAAUUUUUUAAUA